rnacentral:rRNA from 1 species
UUAGAGGAAGUAAAAGUCGUAACAAGGUCUCCGUUGGUGAACCAGCGGAGGGAUCAUUAUCGAGUGUUACAACUCCCAAACCCUUUGUGAACCAUACCAAAUCGUUGCUUCGGCGGGACGCCCCGGGUGCCAUCGCGGCCCCGGAACCAGGCGCCCGCCGGGGGUACCAAACUCUUGUUUUUCCACAGCGAGUAUUCUCUGAGUGGCACAAGCAAAAAAUGAAUCAAAACUUUCAACAACGGAUCUCUUGGUUCUGGCAUCGAUGAAGAACGCAGCGAAAUGCGAUAAGUAAUGUGAAUUGCAGAAUUCAGUGAAUCAUCGAAUCUUUGAACGCACAUUGCGCCCGCCAGCAUUCUGGCGGGCAUGCCUGUCCGAGCGUCAUUUCAACCCUCAGGCCCCGUAAUCUCUCGGGGCCUGGCGUUGGGGAUCGGCCCUGCAGCCCAGGGCCGGCCCCGAAAUCCAGUGGCGGUCACGCCGCGGCUUCCUCUGCGUAGUAGAAACACCUCGCAUAGGGACGCGGCGCGGCCACGCCGUAAAGCGGGCGCGAGCCCAACUUCUUCAAGGUUGACCUCGGAUCAGGUAGGAAUACCCGCUGAACUUAAGCAUAU